GUGUCUUCAGUCGAUGUGUGCCAUGCGGUCGGCUUGCGGCUCCAGUGCCUUCCCUCCUGGUUUGUGCCUUGGAAAGCAUCGCUUGUCUCCACAAGUUCUGGUUCCUCUACCUGAACUGAGUGGUAUGCAUCAGCUUUGUCCUUGAAGGUCUUCUGGUAGAGGUCUGCUAUUCUUCAUCUAUUUUCCCUUUCCAGCCAUGGCAGCAGAGAUCUUCUUCUCAGGCAUGACCACCUCCUCCAAAAGGGAGCUCUUCCAGGUGGGUAACUCCUUCGAGAGUGCAGUGCAUUCCUGGAAGAGACGGCCUAAUCUGACUCCAACAGCUGUCCUCAUCACUGUUUUUGUCUCUCUGUCACCAUCGUUUUUGCCUUUGGCCUCCCUGCUGACAAUGUCCGAGAUUGGUGACAACAUCUGACGAUGUUCUUUCUGUUGGUGUAAUGACAUUAUAUUUUUUCCUGAGAAAAAAAGUGUCUGCUAAAUGAAUAAAUGACCCUGAGCAGGGCUGUAAGUGCUGUGUAGCCCAUAAAAGCGCUAUAUGUCCCUCUUCUGGCAGAUCUCAGUAGUGCACUAGGGUUUUUUUCUUUGCGCUAUUUGUAGGGUGGGCCAGAUUCAUAAAAUGGGGUGACAUCAUGAGUCAUAUAAUCAUUAAUAUCUCAAAAUCAACAUGAAAUAGAAUCAUGGUUUGAAUGGCACAAAACAGCACAAAAGUAAGAUUAAAAAUGAGUUCAAAUUUGAGUUUUUACAGUGUUAUGGGGGGUGGAGUGAUGUCAUAUAGCAAGCAAACAACAAUUAAUGUCUCAAAAAGUGAAAAGUGCAGUUUAAAUGCCACA